ensembl:misc_RNA
UAAUGAAUUGAUGAAAAAUAAAAAUAACGAUACAGUGAAGAUCAAAAUGUCAAUCUCAAUACUGCUUUUACAAAAGCAGAAUUAAAAAAGCGAAAUGAAAAUAG